rnacentral:rRNA from 1 species
GUAGGGUGCGAGCGUUAAUCGGAAUUACUGGGCGUAAAGUGUACGCAGGCGGCCGCGCAAGUCGAGUGUGAAAUCCCCGAGCUUAACUUGGGAAUUGCGCUCGAAACUACGUGGCUGGAGUGUGGCAGAGGAAGGUGGAAUUCCACGUGUAGCGGUGAAAUGCGUAGAUAUGUGGAGGAACACCGAUGGCGAAGGCAGCCUUCUGGGCCAACACUGACGCUCAUGCACGAAAGCGUGGGGAGCAAACAGGAUUAGAUACCCUGGUAGUCCACGCCCUAAACGAUGAUGACUAGUUGUUGGAGGAGUUAAAUCCUUUAGUAACGCAGCUAACGCGUGAAGUCAUCCGCCUGGGGAGUACGGUCGCAAGAUUA